GAGUUUCUCUAUUACUGGUUUCACAGAGCUCUGCAUCACCAUUUUCUCUACUCUCGUUAUCACUCCCAUCAUCACUCCUCUAUUGUCACCCAGCCGCACACUGGUAAGUCCUCAGAAGAUAUUUUUGUAGCAUUUUCUUUUAUUUGAUCAAGUUUUCUAGAGGUAGAAUGAUCAGUCGAGAACAUACAUUAGAUAUAUAAACCAGGAGAACCUACAAAAACAUGCAACUCUAUAUCAUGUCUGAUAUCAUACCUAGAAUUUAGAAAUACAGUAAUACCUUGCAGUAACUAGUUAAAUUGGACAAAUAACAUAAAAAUUAUGUACACAGUCAAUGUAUAUACUUUAAACUUUAAAACAAAUAACUAUGUCAAGUAAAAUGGGACAGAUGAGAAUAAAAUUACUUCGUACAUUGACUUUCUGGAGGUUACGACCUGCCUGAAAGCUUGUAGGCCACAAUAACCACAAGGUUUCAGUUUAAUCUGUAAGACAAUCAAUUAGCUAUCUGGAAAUACUUACCACGUUUUUUUUAAUUCUUGCAGCUGUUAUUCAUCCAUUUGCCGAGAUUGUAAUAUACUAUUUGCUCUUUUUUAUACCAAUCGUCGUAACAUUAUUCACUGGUACUAGUUCAAUAGCUUCAAUUGGUGCUUAUGCCAUCUAUCUUGAUUUCAUGAACCUCAUGGGCCAUUGCAACUUUGAGCUAAUUCCUAAGUGGAUGUUCUCUAUCUUCCCCCCUCUCAAGUACUUGAUGUACACGCCCUCGUGAGUCUUUGCUGGCCUUUUAUUUCAAUUUUUAUUUAUAUUUAUAGCAUAAACAAUGCUUCAGAGACGUUUCUUUUACUUUUACCUCGACAAGAUUUUAUAAACCAUGUGUUUUUGCAUUUUGCAUUUGUCUUAUCAUAUCCAACUUCCAUUUGCUAUGGUUAUCUUCAAAAGUGAUUUGAAUAUCACAGGAAUUUACUUGAGCUAACAAAGAUUAUUUGAAAUAAUUGCCGGUAAAAAGGUAUUCACUAGAAACUUUGAAGUUGAAUUUCACUUUCACAUAUAAUCACUGAACUUUAGCACUACAGAAGUAAACCAAACUUUACCAAUAAUAACACUAAAGUCACAAAGCAAUUUUUUGUCACAUUAAGAUAAUUGAACUUUACCCACAAUAGCAAUAAAGUUGUUGAACUUCAUCCACUAUAAUGACAAAAUUUACGCAUAAAAGCAACAUUACUGUUAAAAGAUAAAGUUGUGUGACAACAAGAUGUUAUAUCCACGGAGGAAAACAGAAACAGAGAGGUUAUAUCAUGAAUAUCUACAAGGUAGCACAACUGUUUAUAUAGAAUUUGUGACAACAGAGAUGCAACUUGUUUAUUUCUGUACAGCCAAAGUCAGAAGGCUCAGUGAACAGAAAAUAUAUAUUUGCUUCUAACUUAAGUUAAUCAGGACAUAAAAGGAUAAAAAGGAAACUGGAGUAUUCUUACAAAUAUAUAUUUUCCUACUGACUAGGCAGACUAUUAACCCCUGAUAAUUUUCUAUUUGUGAAGAUUUUAGAUUCAUUCUUUAUUGCUAAUAUCAAUUCUUUGAUGGCACAGGUUCCACUCACUACAUCACACUCAAUUUAGAACAAAUUAUUCACUUUAUAUGCCAAUGUAUGACUAUCUGUAUGGUACAGUGGACAAGUCCUCAGAUACAUUGUAUGAAAAAUCACUUGAGAGGGAAGCUGAAUCACCUGACGUGGUGCACCUAACACAUCUAACAACCCCAGAAUCCAUCUACCAUCUCCGUCUAGGGUUUGCAUCCUUGGCCUCGAAGCCUCAUGCUUCUAAGUGGUAUUUGUGGUUAAUGUGGCCCAUUACGCUGUGGUCGUUUUUGAUUACUUGGAUUUAUGGUCACACAUUUGUUGUCGAGAGAAAUUUGUUCAGGAAUCUCAAAAUACAAACUUGGGCUAUCCCAAAAUAUAGUAUACAAGUAAGAACGAUUAGUUGUAAGUUCUGCAUUAUACACUGCUACAGAGACUAAUUGGCCUAAUAUUUUAUUUUGUUCAGUACUUUAUGCGAUGGCAAAGAGAUACUAUUAACAAUUUGAUUGAGGAAGCGAUUAUGGAAGCAGAUCAGAAAGGCAUAAAAGUCUUGAGCCUUGGACUCCUAAACCAGGCAAGUAAAACUAUAGAAUAUCAAAUAUUAGCCAAAGCAGAUAUUAACUAUUAGGGAGACUAUGAAUUAAAAAGAAUUCUUCCACCACCCUAUAUUGUUGGCCAGACAAUAGAGGGUUUCAGCUGAUACUUACAAUUAUACACAAAUAUAAUGUUCUAGCAGGAAAUGCAGCAGAAUAAUAACGUUGAACUUUAUGUAAGGAGCCAUCCCCAGUUGAAAGUGAAGGUGGUGGAUGGAAGUAGUUUAGCUGUUGCUAUAGUCCUAAACUCCAUUCCUAAAGGAACUUCCCAAGUGGUCCUUAGAGGUCAUUUCUCCAAAGUUGCUUACUCUAUUGUCCUAGCCUUGUGCCAAGGAGGAAUUCAGGUAAAUUUAACGAUAUAUUAAUCUCCACAAUGAUUUUGGUUUCCCCGUCUUAUCCAUUGAAAUUUUUAUAUACAGGUUAUGCUAGAUGGAAAAGAGUACAAGAGACUAAAAGCAAUGCUUAAUCCUGAAGCUGCAACUAACUUGAUCCCUUCAAAAUCUUAUGCAUCAAACGUAUAAACCAUAAUUUGAUAGUAGUUUAUAACAACUCCUUCACCUUCACCUUCCCUUUUUCCUCCUCUCCUAUCCCAGAGACCUGAUCUCUAAACCAUUUGGACUUUAAAAGGUUCAAAGAUAAAAAGAGAACACUUCUCUUCCCCUCCCCGCAUUUAUCCCACAUUGUUGGCUGUCGAACUAGAAAAGUUCGCAAAGCCUAGAACAGCCCGAAAGAAUACUUCUUUAUCAAAGUAUUGUAUUGCAGAUAUGGCUAGUGGGGGAUGGAUUGAGUAAAGAUGAGCAACUGAAAGCGCCAAAAGGGACAUUGUUCAUUCCUUUUUCACAAUUUCCAACAAGGAAAGCUCGCAAGGAUUGCUUCUACUUCACCACACCAGCCAUGACCGUCCCAAAACAUUUUGAAAAUGUAGACUCUUGUGAGGUUAGAAAAGAUCACUUAAUUUCCUUAAUUUUCAAUCAUUUGAUUUUUCAAAUAAUUAGGAAAUUCAUGACUAAUUUUGUUAUGAAUCCAGAACUGGCUACCAAGAAGGGUGAUGAAUGCAUCGAGAAUAGCCGGGAUUUUGCAUGCAUUGGAAGGUUGGAAUGAGAAUGAGUGUGGAAACAUGACGUUUGAUAUUGAGAAAGUGUGGAAAGCCAGUCUUCAACAUGGUUUUAGCCCACUGACCAUGCCUUCUGCUACUGAAUCAAAGGCUUAAAGAUACAAAUUGCCUUCAUCAUGACCAUAUCUCGAAUCAGUAGUGAAUUACAAGUUUUUCAUCCUAUCUUUCAAGCUCAUAAUUUUCCUUGACAGGAACAGGAGAAUUAUUUCCUAAUUGAAGCAUGGAUGGUAGAUACAGUCAAUGAGAAUAGGGAAGCCAUUGACUAAUAUUGCUUUCGCUACUUAUCUUAAUUUUGCAAAUAAGCAGUCUGUUGUUAAAUUCAACUCAAACUUCUAUCAAAGUUCUGUAUCUAGAUUGAUAAUUUCCGCUCAUGAUACGAACCCAUGCCAACAGUAAUCAAAGUCAUUUACGUUCUUUCGAGCUAUAAGUUUCCAUUUAGUCAAACAACAAAGACCAACUCAAUCUCUAUCUAUUGUCAAUUUAAAUUCAAUCUUUCUUUUCUAUCAACUCAAACCCAAGUAAUGUAUCAAUCAAGUUCAAAUUCAAUAAGCAUUUUCCUGUUUGUAAAUGGCAAUCAUCUGUUUGCUUGAUUCCUGAAUUUGCAUUUCUGAACUUUUCAUGUGUUCUACAAUUAGGCUUACCUCAACUCAGUUAGAAAGUAUUAUGUUGUUACAUGAUUUUCUUAUCAUUGUGUGUGUUAAGUGGAGACAAUAUUCUUGUGAUCAUUCCUUAGUGCAUGAUAUGCAAGCCAAAAGGGAAAUACGGGAUAAAUCAAUAUUCAUUAGGUAGAACCAUUGCUUGUACAUUUCCAAACUGGGUACAUCUUCAAGAAGUUUAUUUGUUUCUUCUAUUAUAGCAGUCCGCAAAUGAGAGUAAUUCCUUCAUCUCGUGUACAUGUUCGAGAUAGUAACUCAAGAGGACACCCAACUAUUAGCAAUUAUCUAACAAAGUCAUGUUUCCUUCUUUUGGGGGCAACAAGGUCACCAAUUUUUGCCUAUGGCUAUAUCUCUUCACAAGUCCCCCCUAUAUCUCUUAACAAGUCCCCAUGAAUUUCUUCUUUUUCUAAACCACGACCCAAUCCCACCCAACCCUAAGUCAUAACCCAAAUUAACCCUAUUAACAAAACAAUGAAGACACCAAUCAAUUUUAAUGUAUUUAAAUGCUUAUUAUGCAAGGUUCUACAAGUUUUCUUUUACUUGUAGACGUAUGUCUGACCAAAACAACUACGAUCGACAGCAAGCAGAGAGUAAUUUCAUAAUGUGAAUAAAAAUAGAAGCAUUUCUCAAGGUGAUAAAUAAGAAUAAAUAUAGGAUAUGGAAUAGCACUUACUUCAUCAACUUUUUCACACACAUAGCUUUAUUCCAUGGCUUUUUCCCAAUCUUCUUCCAUCAAAGCUCAAUCUAGAGAUGAUAAAAAUCACCCUGAUCAGAGGUCACAAAAUAGCAUGACAUGAAUGAGUACAACGGGACAAUAAAAAAGCAGUACAGUUUUAUUUUUUUAAAAAGAAUAAUAACUCUGUAUUACAUCCAAAACAGUACUUAUGUAUGUACUGAAACCAUAAUUUACAAUUGGAACUCUAGAAUGCCCCUAUUCCCAUCUAUAAUGUAUCAAGAACAUCAACGAUAGAUAUGGUGUCAUUAGAGUAAAUCUGAUUACACCACCACCAAAGGAUAUGGUACAGCGGAUGGGGUUGCUCCUCCUUUAACCAGAGAUCUCGAGUUCGAGUCCAGGAAUGGAAAAAAUCCUUGGCAGGGAGGGCUUCCCUGAAUUGGCCCUAUGCAGCACAAAUCUGGAUUAGUCGAGCUACAAUGCAGGUACCGGACACCACAUGGGAAGCAAACAAAAAAACUGAUUACACCACCUUGAAGUUGAUGCCUGUUUGCAAAGGGCCUUUUGCCUCUCACCUUCUUUACUCAUUCGCCCAUCAAUCCCGGCGCAUAAACCACACAGCAUUAAACCCGCCCUGCAUUAGGUGAAAAAAAAAUUAAAAAGAAGAAUGAUUUAACAAAAAAAUUGAACUAUGUGUCAUGCUUAUAGAAUUACUGUUGAUAAUUUUGAACUUUAUGCGAUAAUUUUCUCCUUGUUUCUUUUUGAACCAUGAUAACCAAGGCUUAGCUGGGUAUUCCAAGUCUUGGAUAAGGUUUUCGGGAUGAAAAGGUUUUAAGUUUAAUUUUCAUCAAAUUAUAAUGAUUUUGCAUCCAACUUUAUGCCCUUAUAUUCUUUAUUAUUAGCAUGUACGAGUGUGAUAAAUUGCAUCAUUUUGUGAAUUAAGAAUGAUAUUGCAGCUGAUUCAAUUGGAAGAAUAUCAACAGACAACAAUAGUUGUAAUAGAUACAACUCAAUUCCAAAACUCCACAUAUGUGACUUCAAAACUCGACAAAAUCAAACUUGACAUUGCUUGUCACUUAGUAAAAUUGAAAAAAGAGGAUUAACGUUCACUCAGGUAAACAUGUCAAUUAUAUAUUUUGAAACGAAAUAAGUGUGGCAUUCUUUUCAAAGGUAUGACGACCACGCUGAAAAAAUCACCUAUUUACGAACGGAGUAGAGAAGGGGGAAAACAACUCUUGCUAAAAUAACUCCAAAGCUUAUACAGCUACUAGUAUUAUUGAAAAUACACUACACCGAAGUUAUUUUAGCAAGUGUUGUCUCCACUUCCCCAAUUUCCGAGAUAGCGCAGACGUGUGUGCAGUGUACUGUGUACUCUCUGGC
rnacentral:lncRNA from 1 species